AACGAACGCUGGCGGCAUGCCUAACACAUGCAAGUCGAACGAGAACUUCGGGUCUAGUGGCGCACGGGUGCGUAACGCGGGGGAAGCUGCCCUUAUGUUCGGAACUACUCCCCGAAAGGGGUGCUAAUAUCGGAACAUUUCCUCGGACCAAAGAUUUAUCCCCUUUGGAUGGGCACGCGUUGGAUUAGCUAGGUGGUAGGGUAGAAGCCCAUCAAGGUGACGAUCCAAAGCUGGUCAGAGACGAUGAUCAGCCACACUGCGACUGAGACACGGGCCAGACACCUAAGGGAGGCAGCAGGGGGGAAUAUUGGACACUGCGCGAAAGCAUAAUCCAGCAAUGUCGUGUAAGUCAUGAAGGGGGUAGGAAUGUAAAGAUCUUUUACCCGGGAUGAUAAUGACAGUACCGGAGGAAUAAGAUCCGGCUAACUCCGU
rnacentral:rRNA from 1 species